rnacentral:lncRNA from 1 species
GCAAAUUAUAAUAAAUAAUAGAGGCUCCCAAUAACUAAAUUUCUGUAGCACAUUAAGUAAUAAACUUUAGUGAUAUCCGAAUAGAAUCUCCCAUCUUUAAUACUAUGUUAUCUUUUCCUUUAAUGAUGAGUAUAAAUGAUAGAUAAUGAAGCAUCUUAUUUUUAUAAAUAUUAAGUAUCGAUUAUACUUAUACAAUUGAAAUAAGCAUAAUUGAUACUCGAGAAU